CCAUGGGCCCCUGCGAGGCAGGACCGCCUUGAUGACUGCAAGAUCCUGAGCCGUGCAUGCAAAGGUCUUGCCGAGGCCGAGGGCUGUACAGACACAGACUUGUCACGAGGGGAGCUGAUGACGUCUCCAUCUCACAGGGGCCUGGUGACAAGUCCACGGAGAGCACCAGCGGAGCAAAGGAAUCGCUGCGCAUCCGAGCUUUGGAAAGAGGAAGCCCCUACGUUACUUCCUAAACAAACUCUGGGAGCUUCAACCAGUCGCCGGUCAGGACCCUGCGCUUCUGCAGCUGGCAGGAUCGAGACGCAGGAAAGCUUGGAGAAGGACUUGGGCAGAGGCAAGCCUGCCUGCAGAGAUGCAGAAGAGGGGUAUAGGAGCCAUCUC
rnacentral:lncRNA from 1 species